rnacentral:lncRNA from 10 species
CUCUGAGGACCAUCCACCUCCUUCCUGCGCCCUCCCCACAGCUACGGCGGGGCAGAGAGAGGUGAUGCGUGCCAGGGUCGGGAGUCACAGAGGCUUUUGUACUUUUUUUUGUAGAGAUGGGGUUUCGCCAUGUUGCCCAGGCUGGUCUUGAACUCCUGGGCUCAAGCAAUCUGCCCGUCUCGGCCUCCCAAAGUCCUAGGAUUACAGGUGUGAGCCACCACACCCAGCCUUAGAUGGUGAGUGUUUAUUGAACACCCAUAGUGUGCCUAAGGCUGAUAGGCAUGGAGGAAACAGAACUGAAGAAGAGAUGUGGCUCCUGGCUCCAUGAAGAACUGGGUGAGAUGACAUGCAUGCAAGGACUUAGCACACAGCAGAUGCUCAGUGGGUGUAAUUUUCUCUCUCUUCCUAUUUGUGAGUCGACAUGAAAACUGCUUCUCUGGGUUUCUGCCUCCCCCCAUGCCCUGCAUUAGAGCAGGACAGAAUGUGUGCCACCGUGCCUGCCAUUUUAAAAAAUUUUUUGUAGAGAUGGGGGUCUCACUGUUUUGCCCAAGCUGGUCUUGAACUCCUGGCCUCAGGCAAUUUUCCCAUCUCAGCCUCCCAAAGUGCUGGGAUUACAGGCAUGAGCCACCGAGCCUGGACCAGAAUCUUACUUCUUUCUUGCACCAUGGUCCUUCGAGGAUCCUGUCAUGAGUGACCUUCCAUGUGGUGAUUCAGCGGCCCAGGCGCCUUCCAUCUCAUGGCUCUGCCAUCUUCUCUGGCCUUGGGGAGUUUCAUCUCUAGCUGGUGGUUGGGGAGGAAAGAGAGCUGAGGACUGCAUGGGAACUGUUCAUGGGCUGAGCCUAGAAGUAAUGUACAUCACUUCCACUUCCAAUUCUAUUCAUAUUCUACUGGCUGAAACUCUGAAGGAGAGGCUGGGAAAUGUAGUCCAGCUACACGUUGAGGGAGAGAGUGAACAGGCUUUGGUGACCACACAGCCAUCUCUGCUCAGAUACCCAAGGAGGCAAAUAGAAGAGCCAGUCCAUGCCUUCAACAUGCUUGCUCCACGACCUCCCUGAGCACCUGUGGCCUCUGAGUUUAUGGUCAGGGUCAACAGUGGGGGAAUCUCAUGCCACCAAAUUCCAGGCUGGCAAGAGCCUGGAAAACCUUUUGGCUGGAGAGCCCGGGUCACCUGCUGACUUAUGAAAGCAGUGAAAUCAGUGGUUCUCAACCUGGGGUGACAUUGUCUCCCUAGAGGACAUUUGACAAUGUCUGGAGGCAUUUUUAUUGUCACAGCUCAGGGAUGCUACUGGCAUCU